GACGAACGCUGGCGGCGUGCCUAAUACAUGCAAGUUGAGCGAUGAAGCUUGGUGCUUGCACCAAUUUGAAGAGCAGCGAACGGGUGAGUAACGCGUGGGGAAUCUGCCUUUGAGCGGGGGACAACAUUUGGAAACGAAUGCUAAUACCGCAUAAUAACUUUAAACAUAAGUUUUAAGUUUGAAAGAUGCAAUUGCAUCACUCAAAGAUGAUCCCGCGUUGUAUUAGCUAGUUGGUGAGGUAAAGGCUCACCAAGGCGAUGAUACAUAGCCGACCUGAGAGGGUGAUCGGCCACAUUGGGACUGAGACCCGGCCCAAACUCCUACGGGAGGCAGCAGUAGGGAAUCUUCGGCAAUGGACGAAAGUCUGGCCGAGCAACGCCGCGUGAGUGAAGAAGGUUUUCGGAUCGUAAAACUCUGUUGGUAGAGAAGAACGUUGGUGAGAGUGGAAAGCUCAUCAAGUGACGGUAACUACCCAGAAAGGGACGGCUAACUACGUG
rnacentral:rRNA from 1 species